rnacentral:lncRNA from 1 species
GCAUGCAUAAUAGAUUGUUGUUUUCACUCUGCAUAUGGUAGAAGCUGGAUUCGCUUCAAAGUGCACCAAAUUUGCAUGAUUCGAUGUGAGGGAUUCUGGGAUUAGAGAACACCACUACCACCCCCCCCCCCCCCCCCCCCCCCCCCCCCCCCCUUCUUUCACUCAGCUAUAGAAAGGUAUCACAUUCCCACAGAUGGUGGGAAACAUUGUGAAAAUAUUGCCAUUACGAUACAACGGAGUAAGAACCAGGGUGCGAAAAACAAACACAGCGCUGUUUAUUGUCUUUCUCUCUGAUUUUACAGUUUGGUUUUAAUGAAACACGUGCUGAGCGUGAACGCUUCAUUUGGCUCAUAAUCUUUGUCAGAUUUGAUUAAAAAAAAUAAUAAUAAUAAAUAAAUGAAAAUAAGCCGGCAUCAGCAGGUGGAGCUGCUUGUUGCUGCCUCCCCUCACCCGUGUCUUCUAUCGUUGAAAGCGACAGAACACAGGGAGGCUGUUUGGCGACAGACAGGCCCCAGAGGCGGCUCCGCGUCACGCGCGUCGCUCGAGACGAAGCGACAAGGCGGGAAUGAGCGGCGUCUCGUUACGGCUCUGAGGAGUUACAGGUGUGCGGUGAAGCAGGGCUCCAGAGAAUGACUCAGAAUCCCACAUGAGUCACGCGGCGGCCGGAAGUCGCACGGCGGCGCCGACGCCUGAUGGGCGCGUGGCGACGAGGGCGGGUCCUCGUCUCCGGACGCCCCCCCUGGACGCGAGCGAGGAGCUGGAAGGUCUGUUGAAGGAGCACCGCGGAGCUGCAGCAGCUGGAAGGGAUGCGAUCGCUGCAGCAAAGGAUGCGCCGUGAACGCGGCUGUUGCCUCGGGCCAACAUGGCGACUAAUGGAUUUAAGCUGUGAUUAAACGGCUCAUAUUUAAUGUGAGAACCAUCAUGUCCUACAAGAAAAAAAAAAAAGACCAAAUACUGCAAAAGUUUUAGUGGUGAAAUUAGCCCAAAAACUGUUUGCUGUUGAAUGGAUGAAUAAAAAAAUAUAUAAUUAAAUAAAAACA